GGAAGGAUCAUUACUGAAUUGUCGGACGGGCUGUUGCUGGUCCUCGAAUGGGGACAUGUGCACGCUCUGUUUACACAUCCACUCACACCUGUGCACCCUCUGUAGUUUUACGGUCUGGGGGACCCUGUCUUCCUUCCGUAGUUCUACGUCUUUACACACACACUGUAAUAAAGUCUUAUGGAAUGUAUGCCGCGUCUAACGCAACACAAUACAACUUUCAGCAACGGAUCUCUUGGCUCUCGCAUCGAUGAAGAACGCAGCGAAAUGCGAUAAGUAAUGUGAAUUGCAGAAUUCAGUGAAUCAUCGAAUCUUUGAACGCACCUUGCGCCCCUUGGAUAUUCCGAGGGGCAUGCCUGUUUGAGUAUCAUGAACACCUCAACUCUCAUGGUUUGCCGUGACGAGCUUGGACCUUGGGGGUUUUGCUGGCCUGUGGUCGGCUCCUCUCAAAUGAAUCAGCCUCCCGGUGUUUGGUGGCAUCACGAGUGUGAUAACUAUCUACGCUCGCGGUUGUCCACCAGGUAACCUUU
rnacentral:sRNA from 1 species